GAAGCGACUCCUCUGCAGGUGGGGAGUCGGGGGCUUGAACCGGGAUCCUUCAGCCGGUCCCUGUGCUUUACGCCACGUGCGCUUAACCCACUGUGUGACUGCCCAACUCCCUGAACACUAUUUCCUAACUUUCUUACCGUGUAGGAAAAGUUUAUUCAUUGAUUGGCUUGCACUUUGGCCAUUUUCCAGAAAAGGAUUUAGGAAACUUGGGGAGGGUGAUCUGCAAUAAGAUACAAAAGUAAUGAUGAGAAAGAUAAGAACCUUCAGUAAGUAGAAGGGGGGAAGAAAGUGUAACUCACCGGCCACCCACAUUUAGCCAUGGGAACCAGCAAACACAGUAGUUAACUCUGAGUUUUCUAGUCAUGGGCACAUUUAAGAUAACCUAGUAAUUUAUACAGCUCUCACUGCCUGUUAACUGAGGAUUCACGAGGAGGCUGUCACCUUUCUUCUCGAAAAAGAGGCUCGGACAUGAAGAUUGCUAGGUAGGGGGACUUCCCACGUGAUAACGUCCUUGUGUUCACGUGCCUCUCUAGCAUCUGUUGAGUUUGGCUGCUCGCCAGCUUUCUUCUUCACUCCCGCGCUCUGAUCCAAGUGCAGACACACUAGGCUCCCCAGCGCCAGCGGAGCAGCCCGCGUAAGGCCAGAAGAGAGAGCAGCUUGAACCUGUUCAACCUGGCUUGCAACUUGGCCCGUUUCCCUCCUGCCCUUAUCUCUUGGCCUGUCUCCGUUUGGCAGACACCAUCUGAGCACCACCACAAAAGUGAACAGAGCCUUUCUCAUUUGUUCAGACUGGCCCGAGACAGCAAGCUCCAGAGUGUCCUUGCUCAGGUUUCGUGUUUGAAGAAUUGAGGAACGGUCACAGCUCCCAUACUAACACACCCUGGUGGACAUGCUCUGGUGAGAGACUUACUGGUUGCCAGUUUCUCCGUGCUUAUGACCAAAAUCUACUGGAGAAGCCUUUUUACAAGGGACACUAGGAAAUACAGUGCUCUCUGUGGUUUGAGUGGCAUCUCUUUCUUAAAUUCUGCAGUUACUGAGUUACCUCAGGCCUGUUCUGUUUUUUGUUUUUUUUUAAUUCUAACCAACAGGACUCAACCUUCUUAUUUUUGCUCCCUUAUUUUAGAAUAACCAUUCCGUCUAGAUUUCCUAGGUGUGAACUUCACUGAUUACAUAAUAGAGUGUAUUUAUAGAGCCAGGACACCUUGUGCAGGCAUCCCAUUACAUUUCUACAAUCUAAGAUCUUUAAAUAUGUAUUGGAAUACAGAUAGCUCUCAGGAGCAAAAACAAACAACGUUUUCUGCUAAGAGGGUGCCGAUGGACAUCUUUGAGAACAUUGAGUGAAAACUAGUAUUUGGGGAAAUGCUGAAUGUGGAGGAGAUCACUAAGCCUGAAGAGGGAGAGAGACAGACAGAACAUCACUGACUGAACCAUACACAGUGUUUGCAGGCUUUCUUCUUCCCAGAUCGAAGCAUAAUGUGCUCUAAUUGAGUCUCUUUGUUUAGCACUUGGCUGUUGAUUUGAGUACUUUCUUCAAUAGAAAACUGACGCUUUAAUUUUGUUAUUCAGCGUGCAACAGAUUUAAAUAAAAACACCAAGAUUGUA